GUACUAGCUAUCUGAGAACAAUAUGGCUCUGAAGGCUCUUCUCCUGUUAAUCAUGCUCUUGGUGUCGGGAGGCUCUCUCAUCCCCACGGCCGUAGCUCGAAGUGGGGGAUCUUCGUCCGGGGGUUUCGGGUGCUCGCAAGACUGUUCACCUGGUGACUCUGGCUGUCGUGACUGUCCCCCUGUUAUUGCGCAUCCACCAUGCAAAGGUUGCCAUGCCAAGGAACCGUAGAUUUCCGCAAAGGCGCAAAGAAGUACCGGAAUUCAUCUUUCUGGCCUCGUAUUUUACCAUUCGCCAGGGAAUACAGACGUGAAAAUGAUGCCCAAAGCCUUGUAAUAACCUGAAUUUAAAUAAAUAAUUUAUCAGAUUAUAUA